rnacentral:tRNA from 1 species
GAGAGAGGCAUGAACGCAACAAAAACUGCUAAUUUUCGUCACCUGGGUUUAAUCCCCGGGCUCACUCG